ACAGGGGUAGCUAUGCAAUUAGGCAUAGUGAGUGUAAUAUGAUCUGCAUGGGUGAUAGCUAAUGGUUAACUGGCUCUGCUGAACCUGUGUUCCUUAAACAAACGCUAUCAGUGUGGGAUGAGUUGUCUUAUUUCUGCAGACAACCUACUUCAGUCUGAACAGGUGCUUGAUGCAGUGUAAAGCUUCUCAGGAUAGCUGGAGCAACUUUGUACUAAGGCUUUGAGAAAGGAAAGAGAAAUAGGCAAGAUCAUGCUUUACACAGGAGGUUUACACAGUGUGGAGAUACGCUGUAUGGAGAAUGAAGGGGCAAGAUAGUGCUGAAACUUUGAGCUCUGUACAAGGCAGAAAAUUAAUAGAUAAGCUUUCCCAGAGCAGAUGUGGACCUGUCCUGUACAUACCUGGAGGAGAAUCUGAGAGCUUGAGUUACUGCUGUGGCUCAGUGGGAGAACACAGUACUCAGGAGAGGAAUCCCAGGAGCCACCAAGUUCAGCCAGGAGCAUCCUGAGUUUAGUUCAAUGACUUGUGCAUUUUUGCAAAGUGGAGGAUAGGGCAUAG